rnacentral:rRNA from 1 species
AUUGAACGCUGGCGGCAUGCCUUACACAUGCAAGUCGAACGGCAGCACGGGAGCUUGCUCCUGGUGGCGAGUGGCGAACGGGCGAGUAAUACAUCGGAACGUACCCUGAAGUGGGGGAUAACGUAGCGAAAGUUACGCUAAUACCGCAUAUUCUGUGAGCAGGAAAGAGGGGGAUCGCAAGACCUCUUGCUUUAGGAGCGGCCGAUGUCGGAUUAGCUAGUUGGUGAGGUAAAGGCUCACCAAGGCGACGAUCCGUAGCGGGUCUGAGAGGAUGAUCCGCCACACUGGGACUGAGACACGGCCCAGACUCCUACGGGAGGCAGCAGUGGGGAAUUUUGGACAAUGGGCGCAAGCCUGAUCCAGCCAUGCCGCGUGAGUGAAGAAGGCC